UACGUAGGGUGCGAGCGUUAAUCGGAAUUACUGGGCGUAAAGUGUGCGCAGGCGGCGUUGCAAGUCAAGUGUGAAAGCCCCGGGCUUAACUUGGGAAUUGCGCUCGAAACUACGAUGCUGGAGUAUGGCAGAGGAAGGUGGAAUUCCACGUGUAGCGGUGAAAUGCGUAGAGAUGUGGAGGAACACCGAUGGCGAAGGCAGCCUUCUGGGCCAAUACUGACGCUCAUGCACGAAAGCGUGGGGAGCAAACAGG
rnacentral:rRNA from 1 species